rnacentral:rRNA from 1 species
GGGGGGGGGGGGGGGGGGGGGGGGGGGGGGGGGGGGGGGGGGGGGGGCGGUGGGGGUGGGGGGGGCUCGGGGGGCGAGCGGGUGGGGGACGCGUGGGUGACCUGCCCUUGACUUUGGGGUAACGUCCGGGAACUGGGGCUAAGACCGGGUAGGAGCUCCUGCUGCAUGGUGGGGGUUGGCAAGUUUCGGCGGUUGGGGCUGGACUCGCGGCUUACCAGCUUGUUGGUGGGGUAGUGGCUUACCAAGGCUUUGACGGGUAGCCGGCCUGAGAGGGUGACCGGCCACAUUGGGACUGAGAUACGGCCCAGACUCCUACGGGAGGCAGCAGUGGGGAAUAUUGCACAAUGGGCGGAAGCCUGAUGCAGCAACGCCGCGUGCGGGAUGACGGCCUUCGGGUUGUAAACCGCUUUCGCCUGUGACGAAGCGUGAGUGACGGUAAUGGGUAAAGAAGCACCGGCUAACUACGUG